rnacentral:rRNA from 1 species
CCUACGGGUUGCACCAGUGAGGAAUUUUCUGCAAUGGGCGAAAGCCUGACAGAGCAAUACCGCGUGAGGGAAUAAGAAGGCCUAUGGGUUGUAAACCUCUUUUCUCAAAGAAGAAGAUCUGACGUUAUUUGAGGAAUAAGCAUCGGCUAACCCUGUGCCAGCAGCCGCGGUAAGACAGGGGAUGCGAGUGUUAUCCGGAAUUAUUGGGCGUAAAGCGUCUGUAGGUUGAAUUCAAAGUCUUUUGUAAAAUCUUUAAGCUCAACUUAAAAACCGCAAAAGAUACUAGUUUUCUUGAGUAUGGUAGAGGUAAAGGGAAUUUCCAGUGGAGCGGUGAAAUGCGUAGAGAUUGGAAGGAACACCAAAAGCGAAGGCACUUUACUGGGCCAUUACUGACACUGAGAGACGAAAGCUAAGGGAGCAAACGGGAUUAGAUACCCCCGUAGUC